rnacentral:rRNA from 1 species
CAGUACCGCGGGAAUACGUAGGGUGCGAGCGUUAAUCGGAAUUACUGGGCGUAAAGCGUGCGCAGGCGGUUGUGUAAGACAGGUGUGAAAUCCCCGGGCUUAACCUGGGAACUGCGCUUGUGACUGCACAGCUAGAGUAUGGCAGAGGGGGGUGGAAUUCCACGUGUAGCAGUGAAAUGCGUAGAGAUGUGGAGGAACACCGAUGGCGAAGGCAGCCCCCUGGGCCAAUACUGACGCUCAUGCACGAGAGCGUGGGGAGCAAACAGGAUUAGAUACCCCCGUAGUCCCUGUCUCUUAUACA